rnacentral:snRNA from 1 species
GCACAGUGAGGGCGAUCUGGCUGCGACAUCUGUCACCCCAUUGAUCGCCAGGGUUGAUUCGGCUGAUCUGGCUGGCUAGGCGGGUGUCCCCUUCCUCCCUCACCGCUCCAUGUGCGUCCCUCCCGAAGCUGCGCGCUCGGUCGAAGAGGACGACCAUCCCCGAUAGAGGAGGACCGUUCUUCGGUCAAGGGUAUACGAGUAGCUGCGCUCCCCUGCUAGAACCUCCAAACAAGCUCUCAAGAAAAGCAAGCACAAAGUUUAUUGAAAGGAUAGUAAAACUCCCUUCAUGGCAGGGGCUUGGUGAA